AAAUUGAAGAGUUUGAUCAUGGCUCAGAUUGAACGCUGGCGGCAGGCCUAACACAUGCAAGUCGAACGGUAACAAGAAGCAGCUUGCUGCUUCGCUGACGAGUGGCGGACGGGUGAGUAAUGUCUGGGAAACUGCCUGAUGGAGGGGGAUAACUACUGGAAACGGUGGCUAAUACCGCAUAACGUCGCAAGACCAAAGAGGGGGACCUUCGGGCCUCUUGC
rnacentral:rRNA from 1 species